GUCCUCUUCGUCUAGAUGGACUAGGACAGUGCUUUUUCAUGGCAUAAACAGGGGUUCAAAUCCCCUAGAGGAUA
rnacentral:tRNA from 1 species